CUGCAUCCACUGAUGGACUUUGAACAGUUAGUAGCUGCUCUUCUGGUUUGCUCUAGGAUGUAAAAGAAAAUGCUCCCUGAGCUUUCUGCAUGUCUUUGUAGUCAAGAUUGAAACUAUAUAGUU